GGCGCGGGAUAGCUCAGUUGUGAAAGCGUUCGAUUGUAGACCUUAGCGUCCCUGGUUCGAACCCACGUUUCGCCA